AUAGAGCUAUAAUUGUGAUAAACUAGACAGCAACCAGUAACAACAUUAUAACCUCAACAUAAAUACCAUUGUUGUCACGCCCUGACCUGAGAUAUCUCUGUUUUCUUUAUAUUUUUGGUUAGGUCAGGGUGUGACUAGGGUGGACACGCUAGUUUUUGUAUUGUCUAGGGGUUUUGUAUUGUCUAGGGUUUUUGUAUGUCUAGAUUUUGUGGGUCUAGGUAUUUGUAUGUUUAUGGUGGCCUGAUAUGGUUCCCAAUCAGAGGCAGCUGUUUAUCGUUGUCUCUGAUUGGGGAUCAUAUUUAGGUAGCCAUUUCCCCUUUGGUGUUUGUGGGUUCUUGUUCUAUGUUUAGUUGCCUGUCUGUACUAUUCAUAUAGCUUCACGGUUCGUUUUGUUAUUUUGGUUAGUUUGUUCAGUGUUCAUUCUUAAUAUAAUGAAGAAUGUACGCAUACCACGCUGUGCCUUGGUCCGAUUCAUACGAUGAACGUGACAAUUGUUCAUCUUCCCCCUAGCCCCUGUGUCCCCUGCAAAGCUGUCCUCUUGAGUGCCUGUCUAAUGGAGAGGUGAGGGUGUCCUGCUCCUCUGAGGGGGACGGUCCCCAGUACAGCUGGGCUCUGGAUGGACACCCACUGAGAGACACUGAGGCCUCUCCUGGUGACAAGACAAACACCAUCACGCUGAAGAAAGGCCAGUCUGGAGAUCUCACCUGCACCGUCAAAAACAACAUCAACAGUGUUACCACCAGCGAGAGAAUCUCGCACUGUCCAGGUUAUCUGCUGUUUAAUUUAUGUUGUUAAACAGACAAAUGAUUAAUGAUAACAAUUAUGAUAAUGGUCGAUCCUUAUCAAUGGAAAUUGACCUGUUGAGAAACUGCACUGUCCAUUUUGCCAGUGUUUAAUUCAGAUACACAUUUGAUUCCUGUAUUUAUUGCCUACAGCACUCAUAUAUAUUAACUGCACCAAACCCAACAAGACAAAGACAGCAGAAUGGGUGAUUGCAGCUGGUAAUACCCUGUGUGCAAAAAGCCUACACCAGUGGUAACCACGACUGGGACUGAGGCCUUCACCAGUAGAACAACCACUGGUAAGGUACUUGACACCUUUGUGACCUCCAGACCCAGCAAUCACACAAAUGCCACCCAAAAUAUCAGUGACAAAAGCCCAUCAGACCCUGUGGAAUGUUAGUAAGUGAUACUGCUCACCCUGAUGUUUUAUUGGUGUCAUUAUCAUACAGUUUAGUGUAGUUUUUAAAAUUCAAACCAUUUUAAAUAACAAGCACAUAAAAGCCAUACUUGCACUUGAGUAAAAUCCUCGAGGAUAACACACAAUAAAGUCUGGGACUUGUUUCCACGGUGGUCCUCUUGUCACGAAUAUCACCGAAGGUGGCUCCUCUUCCCGUUCGGGUGGCGCUCGGCGUCGCUGUUCUACUAGCUGCUACCGAUCCCGUUUCCCCUUUUUGUUUUGUUGGGUCCAAUUGGUUUCACCUGUUCCUUGUUUGGGGUUUUGGGUCGUGUCACGUUCUGACCUUUAUUUCCUUUGUUUUGUCAUUAUUUAGUAUGGUCAGGGCGUGAGUUGGGGUGGGCAGUCUGUUUGUUUUUCUAUGAUUUGGGUAUUUCUAUGUUUCGGCCUAGUAUGGUUCUCAAUCAGAGGCAGGUGUCAUUAGUUGUCUCUGAUUGAGAAUCAUACUUAGGUAGCCUGGGUUUCACUGUGUGUUUGUGGGUGAUUGUUCCUGUCUCUGUGUUUGCACCAGAUAGGACUGUUUGGGGUUUUCACAUUUCUUGUUUUUGUAUCCAGUUGUUCAUGUGUACAUUUACGUAUUAAAAGAACCAUGGACACUUACAACGCCGCAUAUUGGUCCUCUGAUCCUUUUCACCUCUCCUCUUCGGAAGAAGAGGAGGAAAUCCCUUACAGGUCGGUUAUUUAAGUUCCGUUAGCCCGCCUGUGUUCGUGCGGGCUUGUUUGCUGUUUUUGGUCAAGGAGUGUUCCUGUCUUUUGGAUUUUCCGCUGACCGCGUAUGUACCUGUGUCGUACAUUUUGGAGUGUUUUACGCCUGUGUUCGGCGUCACCCUCUUUGUGCGCUGUGAUUGUACGGAAAUAAAGUGUUUUUGCGAAUCCCCUGCUCUCUGCGCCUGACUCCACACCGUCACUCUUCGAGCCGUUACACCUCUUGUGACAAGAUGGCCAUGCAAGAUCACGGUUCAACACAGUACGGCAGCGAGAUAAUACAGCAUAAAAACGAAAGGAGACCGUCUAUCAGAACGUCUAUCACGGCAGUUAUAUCGUAGGGGACAUUCAUAAUGGAACAGAAGACUUCAGACAAUGCAGAGAGAGCCAAGACAUUUGCUAAUGUUAGUAAGCUCUGUGCUAAGUAUGCUCUCCAACAUAGUUUUACUUUAGUGAGACACCAGAAGUGUAGAGUCAUCCGCAUAAAGGAAAAGACUGAGAACAAGCCUCUUUCAUAUCGUUUAUAUACAGUAAAAACAGUAGUUGUCCAUGCAGGCUCCCCUGCAGAACACUACAACUUAUUGGAUUUGCCUGAAAGAGUGAACCAUUUAACCUCUUCCACUUGCUCCCUACUUGACAAGUAGGACUUUAACCAGCCUAGAGGGAUACUGUUUAACUCCAGUGCCUCCAGUUUGGAGAUUAGGAGACAAUGGUUGACUGUAUCAAAGGCCUUCUGACAGUCAAGAAGUAUCAUUCCACAAAGACAAUGAGCAUUUCCUGUAAGUGCAGGAGGAUUUUUCUGCUGUAACAAAAGGGCUCAAAUUAAAAUCCUAUAUCUGUAGUAACAUUGGUGGCUGGUUUUACAAUGGAACAACCUUCCACACUUCCAUAUGUUUUGCUUCCUCUCUUUUACCCAGUGAUCAUCUGGAUGGUAGCAGGGUCUCUGGCAGCAGUGGUUAUUGUCCUAGUGAUGGUGUUGGGAGUUUACUGUGUCCAGAAGAAAAAUAAACCUUCAAAGACGCCAGCUAAUGAUGACAGCCAGGUUGUGGAAUACACUGAUGUCAGGAUACUGAAGAAGCAGAUGAGACAGAAGGAGAGGGAGGCGUCGAUCGAGGUGGAAUAUGGACAGUUUAAAACAUUACAGGGUCCCCGGCGGAAGGUAGACACACCUGACACACCCGAGGAGGAGGACUGUGUGUACGCCAGGGUACUGGGAAUAAGAGGACCAAAGCGUAGUGUGGUGAGCGUACAUGUUCUUUUAUUGAUAAAAAUGUUGCCAACAAAAUAAAGGAACGACCGUGAAGCUUAACAGGGCUAUAGUGCCACUAACAAAGAUCACUUCCCACAAUAACAAAAGGGGAAAAGUCUGCCUAAGUAUGAUUCUCAAUCAGAGACAACUAUAGACAGCAGUCCCUGAUUGAGAACCAUACCUGGCCAAAACAUAGAAACACAAAACAUAGAAAUCAGAACAUAGAAUGCCCACCCAAAUCACACCCUGACCAAACCAAAAUAGAGACAUAAAAAGGCUCUCUAAGGUCAGGGGUGUGACAGAAUCACUGAGAAUCUGAGAUGAAUCACUGGUUGCGUCCCAAUGAUCUCUCCUUUUCUUGUUCACUUCCCUUCUUGGAUUUGGAAGGAAAUGAAUGGAAUAUGGAAUCUCCCUGUUGCCCAAGCCAACACCAAUCCAAUGCUUUUAAAUGUGUGGGAAGUGGUGAACGAGCGCACAUUUCAGGAAGAAAGAGAUUAUUGGGAUGCACUCCCUGAGAGGCCCAAAGUUGAUACAGACAACAGCCAUGUUGAAUCAUGUUGUCUUAGUUACAAAACACAGCUGUUACUUUAAAUGUAUGUUCACACUUUAGAGUGGACACUGUCUGUUUCCAAGAAGUGGACACUGUCUGUUUCCAAGAAGUGGACACUGUCUGUUUUUCUUUACCACAUUUCUUUACCACAUUUCCUUCUUUGGAAAAGUGUUUUACCAGUUUGGUCUUGUUUCUGUUGUGUGAUAUGUCACAAAUUCCUACAUGUGUUUGCUGCAUGAUAGAAGGAAUAAAAUAGUUAUUUCAAAUAAUGUUUUAAAGAAUUUUGAUAAUUGCAUAACAGAAAUUGAAUUACCAAUAUCUUAAGUCAAUACUUUAAAGCUUGCAGUCCAUCUCCCUAGUCAACACAUCUUGAGAUAUUGCUAAAAAUCAAAUAUACUCUUA